GUGACUCAAAGACCUUUGACCCUGAACUGUAUUUUCUCCAUAUUCCUUGGUGAUCUUCUUUGUAUCCCUGGUAUUCUGAAUUUCAGAAUGUUGGUCUCUUCAUUGAUUUUGCUAGGCACUCAGUGGACCCUUUCCAUCUGGCAAUUCAUGAUCUUCAGUACUGGGAAGAUCAAUUAUUUCUUUGAUUUCCUCUUUCUGUAUUCUCUGUUCUCCUUUUCUGGAACAUAUAUUUGUGAUUUGUGUUUGUAAUUUUCUAUCUCUUUCUGCCCAUUUUCCCAUUUUUAAAAUUUUUGUUCUGUCUUCUGUAUCUUCAAAUUUAUCUUAUAACUUUUAUUUUUUGUUUAUACUAUCUUUUUAAAAUUUCUUCUUUCAUAAAUGUAAUAUUUCCUGUCUCCUAAGCCAGUUAGUUACCACAUAUAGGCUCCAGACAACUAAUGACAGUACAAAAUAGGCUCUGAUUAGAUGUUGAAAUGUUUGGUACUGAUACUAAGUGCUAGGGGAUAAAAGGGUCUACAAAAACCACUAUCUGCCAGAAAAACUUGAAACAAUUUCAUGGAAGGGGUAAGAUAGGAUCUGGACUUGGAAUAUAGAUGCUAAAGAAAACCCUUAUGGCGAGGAUGACAAUAAGAGUCCAUUCCCCCUGCAGCCCAAAAACAAACGCAGUUAUGCCCAGAAUGUGACUGUCUGGAUCAAACCCAGCGGCCUGCAGACAGAUGUACAGAAGAUUUUAAGAAAUGCAAGGAAACUACCUGAAAAAACACAGACAUUCUAUAAGGAGCUGAACCGUUUGCGAAAGGCCGCUCUAGCCUUUGGUUUCCUGGACCUGCUGAAAGGGGUGGCUGACAUGCUGGAAAGGGAAUGCACACUGCUGCCUGAGACAGCCCACCCUGAUGCUGCAUUCCAGCUGACCCAUGCUGCCCAGCAGCUCAAGCUGGCCAGUACCGGCACCUCUGAGUAUGCCGCUUAUGACCAGAACAUCACACCUUUGCACACGGACUUCUCUGGGAGCAGCACUGAAAGAAUUUGAAACUGACUUUUGGAGCUUUCCUUCUUUUUUCAUUUCAACUGAAAAUGCUUUAGGUAAAAACCUUUCCAGUAUGUUCACCUCUAGAAUAGCCACCCAAAGACCUUCCUGAGGCUGCCUCAGAAGCACCACUUGCUGUUUUGAAUGACUCUACUAGUAUGAGAAGGAUGUGAAGGUGGUUGGCUGGUUGGGCUUUAACUUCCUGGGAUUCAUAAUUUUUAAGCUUGGAAGAUAGCUGCUGUUCCCAUGAUGGGCACAUUUCCUGAGAAGCUUGAAUGACUGAUGAGCAUAGAGCACCCCUGCCUUCCUCAGGAAACCUGACCGGCAGGGGCUCUCUGGCUUCCUG
rnacentral:lncRNA from 1 species